rnacentral:rRNA from 1 species
UACGGGGGGAGCAAGCGUUGUUCGGAUUUACUGGGCGUAAAGGGCGCGUAGGCGGCCACCGCAAGUCAGUUGUGAAAUCUCUGGGCUUAACCCAGAAAGGUCAACUGAUACUGCGGGGCUAGAGUGCGGAAGGGGGCAACUGGGAAUUCUCGGUGUAGCGGUGAAAUGCGUAGAUAUCGAGAGGAACACCUGCGGCGAAGGCGGGUUGCUGGGGCCGACACUGACGCUGAAGCGCGAAAGCUAGGGGAGCGAACGGG